GACGUAGGGGGCCAGCGUUGCUCGGAAUUACUGGGUGUAAAGGGUUCGUAGGCGGUGUGGCAAGUCGGGAGUGAAAUCUCUGGGCUCAACCCAGAGUCUGCUUCCGAAACUGCUGUGCUUGAGUGUGGGAGAGGCGCGUGGAAUUGCAGGUGUAGCGGUGAAAUGCGUAGAUAUCUGCAGGAACACCCGUGGCGAAAGCGGCGCGCUGGACCACUACCGACGCUGAGGAACGAAAGCUAGGGGAGCAAACAGG
rnacentral:rRNA from 1 species